rnacentral:rRNA from 1 species
CAGCCGCCGCGGGAAUACGUAGGUCCCGAGCGUUGUCCGGAUUUAUUGGGCGUAAAGCGAGCGCAGGCGGUUAGAUAAGUCUGAAGUUAAAGGCUGUGGCUUAACCAUAGUACGCUUUGGAAACUGUUUAGCUUGAGUGCAAGAGGGGAGAGUGGAAUUCCAUGUGUAGCUGUGAAAUGCGUAGAUAUAUGGAGGAACACCGGUGGCGAAAGCGGCUCUCUGGCUUGUAACUGACGCUGAGGCUCGAAAGCGUGGGGAGCAAACAGGAUUAGAUACCCCUGUAGUCCCUGUCUCUUAUACA